CAACAGCACUGCCUGUCCUGCUGAGAGAGGACCAGGGCUGCUUACUGCAACCUUAGAAUGGAAUUUCACUUAAAAUGAGGAGGAAGGGCUUCACUUGUUUAUGGACAACAAAUAAUGUGGUAACAAGGAAAUUCAUCUUGCCCAGGGCACAUCCAAGUUUGAAUCACUCCUCUCAGAUUUGAAGCAGUGUCUGACAUGAGGAUUCACCACGACAGGUUUUAAAAGGAGCAUUUACAACGUUAACCAGUGCACUGUCUCACAGACCGUACAGCCAACAGAUUGAAACAAUACUACUACAAGGAUAUGUGGAAUAACAACAAUAUUUAUUCUGUAUUUUUGUCUUCCUGGAAUGGAUUGACCACUGAUUCAGAAGCAAAGAACUACUGUGAUAUGGCCCUUGCUUCUCACUCAAUUGGAGAUGCGUCUGGAAAGAAGUGCUUCAUUUCUUACUGCAUCUGGACAAAGACAGACCUCCUGGAGGUGCUCCCAGCUCCCUGAAGAUAC